UCGCUAGCUGCGCUUUUUUGCUCCGCGAAGCCUUUGACACCGACUCAUUGACGACCCCGACGCGCAAAACUUUUCGUUCGACGAUCUCUCCGAUACGAAAAAAGCACAGCGCUCCAAAGUGUAAAUAAAGUGGUCAAUUUAUCAACCGGAUCAUAAAAAUCAGCGCAGUCAAUUGUUUGAGCGCAAAGAUCGGCGUAUACCUAUAUAACACGCUGCACGCUACAUGAAUGGGUAUGAAAAUUGAGAAACAAAAAAUGGGCGAACAAAUUCCGCGCAAGAAUUAUCAAGGUUCGCACCUAUUAUUUGUUUACUACGGUCGAUUCCCUGAUGUGAAAUGCGAGCGCGAACGCGCGGUUGAGUUCAGUGCUGUAGCAGCAUAAGGAUGAGGUUGGCAGUGAAUCACCUUGCGAAGGUGGGCCGGCAAGUUCAGCGAUUGCGUGCAGUAAAAGGUUUAGGUGUAGGAGUGACUGGUUGGCGUGUGCGAAGGUGUUGGUACGGGUAUAUGUGGACCGCAUACCUCGAGGCAGCGGCGGUGGCGGCGGCGGCGGCGGAAUCAGCCUCCUUGUCUCAAGUUAAAGCUCCGAGUCCCGGCAUACCAGACCUUUAAACCCAUCUAUGUGUAAAGAUUCGCUAUUUAUGGUCCAGGAAGGCAGUCAGGCAAGGAUCCGAGCCGAAGCCGGACCGAGACGAGGCGACAAGGACACGCGUUCGGGAAUAGAAGGCGCGAAAGUUCAAAGAUUCCGUGUCUUCCAUUUUUAGAGGGAAAUGAAAAAAAAAAGGAAAAAAUCAAACAAAACAAACACGGAUAAAAUAAACGAAACAAAAACUGUAUCUGCAUUCGUACACAUGCCACGUGUACCCGUUUCCCUCUCGCGUCGACUGUAACUCGGACAUUUUUCUCGGACGAUGGUUUUUUACGACGGCGGAAUCGUCGUCACAGUCGAUCGGCUCUAAUCGCCGGCGAGCUAUCGGACGAUAGGGUAUAGAAAAUUCUCGAUCAAUUGGUUAUACCGCGUAACCGUGUGUACACGUGUAUAAUUUGGUCGGAGAGCAGCUCCGAAAGAUCGAUGCAUGUCCGGGUAUUACGAGAAGGUGCGGCUCGCGGCUCGGUCGUUAUGGUAUUUAAAAAGUACGAAGCGGCGGUUGGGUUUCGUUUCGAUUCAAAAGUUCCGCCCGGAUCAUUCCGAAGACUACCGAGCCCCGCGACCGAGUAUUUCCGAAACCGAGAUUUGAAUUCGAACGGGUUCCGGAUACGCGUGUAACACGAGUGUCGUUAUUCACGUGUGCGUACGUGAAUAACGACGCGUAUCAACCGCAGCGGUUACGUGCGAUCGCGCGAGACGCGCAAGUUUUCGCGUUGCUCAAACACCCCGGGGGGAAGAUAUGCUCAAUUUCCCUGAGCCGUUUCCUCCUCGUUGCGAUAGGUGCGUGGGGUAACCGAUUCGGUCCCGGGCCCCCUAACCUCCGUUUUCUCUGGUAGUUCUUUCGCCGACCCGCCCCGCUGCGGGCCCCCCUUUUACGCGAAGAGUCACGUACCGGACGGAGACUCGGGAGACUCGGGAGACUCGGGAGACCGUGGAGUGCAGGCGACCCGGGAGAGACCGGAGAUCCGAGAUCCCGACCACUUCGAGGACCAGCCCGAGCCCACCAAGGACUCUCACCGCACGGAACCCACCGCGCUUCUUCACCGCAGCAGGACGCCUAUAGCUCGUUCUUCGGUGCCGGCGGAACAUCCUUUAAUAUCUUUUGCCGCCCUCUUCUUCGUCCUCGUCUUCGUCUUCGUCUUCGUCUUCUUCUUCUUCAUCGGUGAACAGGGCGCCUCUCUUCCCUCCUUUCCACACUCUCACUCUUUCUCCCCGUAUUCUCAUCCUCGUCCCCCUCGGUUUCUUUCCUUCUUCUCCCCUCUCCGCCCGUACGACUUCGGAGUCUCCUCGCCUGUGAACCGCACCAGCUUCUCUCGAUAGCAUCUCUUGAUGGAAUGCCUUCUGCGAUGCUGUGAGACUCGAGCUCCGGAGGAGCUUCGCUUCGUUUCGUACAGGAUCACCCCGACCACGACACAGCGCACCUUAUACCUGUCACUGAACGACGCGCCCCUGCGGUGGUACCGCGUUUAUAUUUGCCCUCGCGCGCGAUCACUUCGUGAUAUUACGUUGGUACCUACGCGUUGCGUGCAGACCGCGUCAAAACUUUGGAAAAAGGUUCCGAAUUUUUGUCCAGGGAACCUCAACUCGGACCGUUUUCUUUGUUUUUUUUUUUUCGCGGAUGCUUUUUCGACGCCUGAUUUCAUUGGUGCACACGCGGUAGAAUCGUAGCGCGAUGUUCGAAUUUCCAAGUCUCCGAAAGACGAUGUACGCAGAGAUUCGUCGAGUGUUUCCUUGGGUGAGGCGGUAAGUGCGGGGAUCCGACGGUCGGGUAACCAGUCCAGUCAUCCGUGUCACGAUGUUACCGCGGCGAGCGACGAAAGCGAGGGCGGAAAAUCGUAGUAAAGAUAACGCGACCUUAACCUUCCCAUUUGAUCUCCGCGUCUCCGCGCGGCGUCGAGUUACGCCGGCGUAGGAACCACCUUCAAAUUUGACGAUCUAGCGGGCGCGUGAGUCGAAUAACCUUUGUUAUUACACGUACGAAGAGGAGACUCGAAAUGGAUUUAGUCGGACCUCGGGGAACCGCCUUUGACUCCCAUACGAACUGUUCUACCGCAUCGUACUUCCCGCGAUGAUCGUGUGAAACACCACCGUCCUCAAUUUUUCCUCCUUUUUUUUCUCGAAUUAAAUCUCUCGAAUUUCCUCAAUCACCAUAUUAAAAUUAUGUUUAUGUGGUUUUUUUUUUCUUAUCACCGUAUACGUGACAUCUGUAAGUUACCGUUUUUGCACCUGACGUGUGCCCAUCAAUUACGUACGUGUAUACGUAGUUAAAAAUUCUCAUUCAAGUAACGCUGCACGCGGAAUGAGAAAUUUCUAAAAAUUUCGAAUAAAUAAAUACGAAUGAACGAUGAUAUUUGUUUAUAGUUAUCAUUAUUUUUUAUCGCCUUGUCUCUUCUCACAAACACCGAAAACUCACGAGUGCUCGCUAGGUCGCGCGGUUUUCGGAUAACGCGCGUAAACGUCGA